CCGAGGGGGAUGGGAUGAGAAUGUGCGUUCAGCUGCGUCCAAGUUCUCAAGCUCGGUUCAAGUCAUUCAUCCUCAAAUUUCACUUUUAAUUCUUGUCAACCUCAUUUCCUUUUUUUCUCUUCCCUUCCCUUCCCUUUCUCUCCCUUCCUUUCCUUUACUUUCUCUCCCUUUCUUUCCCUUUCUCGGCCUUCCUAUCCUUUCCCUUUCCUUCCUUUCUCUUCCAUUCCCUUCCCUUCCCUUUCUCUCUCGGGACAUCAUGAGUGUUUCCUUAGGUUCAUGGUACAGGGGAAGGGUCAGAGUGUACCAGGGUCAUAAAACUACCCCUGGAAAUGCCUGGAACUCCUAUGAAAGCCUUGUUGAAUAUGUGUUUCCUUAGGUUCAUGGUACAGGGGAAGGGUCAGAGUACCACCAGGGCCAUAAAACUACCCCUGGAAAUGCCCGAAACUCCUAUGAAAGCCUUGUUGAAUAUGUGU